rnacentral:rRNA from 1 species
UACAGAGGGGGCAAGCGUUGUUCGGAAUUAUUGGGCGUAAAGAGCUCGUAAGCGGUCUGUCGCGUCGAUCGUGAAAACUUGGGGCUUAACCCUGAGCUUGCGGUCGAUACGGGCAUGACUGGAGUUCGGCAGGGGAGACUGGAAUUCCUGGUGUAGCGGUGAAAUGCGCAGAUAUCAGGAGGAACGCCGGUGGUGUAGACGGCUCACUGGACCGUAACUGACGCUGAGACACGAAAGCGUGGGUAGCAAACAGG